ACCACAUGAAAAAAGGGGUAAUGUUGAUUCUUGCUUUUAUAAGAGAAGAGUUGCUGUCACUGCUGAGAAUUAAGCGUCGUGUGGGGUUUUCGCAUGAGCUGCUCGUCGGCGACUGCGACAUGCGCGUGGGUUCUGGUUUCCUUGCAUCCGCACGGCAUUUGUUCGAUGGUAUGUCCAAGAGAAUCAUUGUUCCUUUUAGAAUAUACUGGUGUGGCGAUUUCACGUCUCCGACGCUGUGUCGUUCUCCAAUCAGUUUGCUAGCUUCUGGCAAACUAGGUUUUGGUGAUUCAUUAUGAAUGGAUUCGGUUUUUCAGUGCUUAUCUAACAGAGAAAUACUAGUCUCGUCAAAGCUUGACUGCAUAACGUCACUACGCUUUCUUGGAUUAUGUCCUGUCUUGUUCGGGGAGCAAUUGGUUGUCUGACUGUUAAGUCUGGCUGCCCUUAUCGAUGUAUCCAAAAUGUCGUUUCCUCAAAGGAUACUUUGAUGGGAUCAUUUUGAAAGACUUGGUGUUGUUGGGAUUUAGAAGGCAGCCUCAUUGCCUGGUUGUGAAAUUGGCUCUUGAUACUGAUGUAGUUGGAAUGCAUUGUGAUAGAUGAUGCUCGCCAGGUUUUCGAUGGAAUGGUUGCUAGAGACGUUGUCUGUUACAAUGUUAUAAUGUAGGUUAUGAGACUUGAUGAAUCAACACUUGCUAGUUAUCUCAGCUCCUGUGCCGCUGUGGCAGCAAUCAGUGAGGGUAUAGAUGUGCAUGGUUAUGGUGUAAAAAUGCAGGUUUGAAGCUUCUGUGUGGAUUGAAAAUUUCUUUAUUAUUGCUUAUGAGGAUCCACAAUGCACCCAUGCAUAUCUUUGAUAUAUACACCUGUUUUGGUGGACUAGUUUUCGCUGAUAUUCUUACACCUAUAUUGGAUUAGCUAUUCAUACAACAAACAUGUUAGCCCUACAGAAUUGUAUUAUCCAUGCUUCCUCGCUGCAUGCAGUCAUGCUGGGCUUGUAGAUGACCACACAAUUUCAGUUCUAUGAUGAUAAUGGAUUAUCAAAUGUAUCCAAGAUCAGAAUAGUCUGCUUUGUCUAGCUGAUCUACUUGGUAGAGCUAAUAUGCCGUGUCAGCCUGAUGAAAAUAUUCUUGGAGGCAUCAUAUCUGUAUGGAGGCAAAACAAAUCAGUGAAUUAUAUGCUCUUGUCAAAAAUCUAUGUAGCUGAAGCUUGUUGGGAGGAUUUGCAAAGGGUGAGGAUGAGGUAUAUCUGUGGCAUCGAGAUGCCAGGCUCUAGUUGGAUUGAGAUUGGCAGCACAGUUCACAUAUUUGUCUCAGUUUGUCGGGCUCAGCAUCUCGUCGGCGGGAACCAGGAUUAUUAUGAUUCUUUCUUGAAUAUUUUCAAAGAGGCAUGGAUGUUAUAGGCCACUUUGGCAAUAGCAGAGUUGAUUGCCUUCUCCCAUCUCCUAAAGCUGCAAAAACAAGGCACUCACAUGAGACUUCAAAUAAUCUUCCUCGGGAUAGAGAUUAGAAUGGUUACUUUGAAACUUGGUGAGACUUCAUCUGAGGGAUACGGAGCAUAUCAGAAUUGUCGAUACAUCUCAUGGUGAAAAGAUGAAGCAUCGAGUGGCGCACUCAAAUUUUGGUGGUGAAUUCUGCCUUCUGGUAGACUCGGCCAUGCGUUCCAAGUGUCGCUCGAUACAAGGAGGGAAGACCACGCGAGGGGGAGUAAUUUUUCACCUCACUUGAGAAUGCAGGGACAGCGAUAACUGCAGGUAUCGAAGCUUUUAAUAGUUAUCCUAUUUGUCGUACAGUAGCAAACGCAAACAUUUAAUGUCUUUGGUGAAAGAGUAACGACUCAUAGUGGUAGUCAAUGGAAGUUAUAUUUUAACACGAGAAUUCGAACCUCAAAUCAAGGAAUCCAAUUUCAAUUAUCGGUUUCAUGACCGGACAGGUACGAAUUCAUCCAUUGUAUGAUUAAAAGAAUAUAUGGUACCAUCCAAGGAUGGCCCGAAUCUCGAUUUAGGUACAAACCGAUGCUUACGAUUUUUAUUUCUUUGCCUAUGUUUCCAACGAGAAGGACAACUU